UCUUCCCCUUUACUGACUGGUGUCUCUGAACUGGAUAAAUAGUAUAACAAACCAGACAUUUAUUUUUGUUGUAUUUUAGAGAUCCCUGCAUAUUUUAAAUAAAGAUUGGAAUUGAUUUGAUGUGAGGCGAUCAGGAGGUGUUGCCUCACUCUCCAACCAGGAUUUCUUUUUUUUUUUUUUUUUAAUAGAAACUUUCAACCAUUUUGGUGGAUUUUUUCCCAAAACACAUCACACAGAUUUCAUCAUGUCAACAUGUUGACAGAAACAACAACAAAAAACCCGAAACCACAAUCAUUUCGGUAUGGACUUGAAAUAAUAUGCUACGUGAUCCUCAAAGUGAGGCAUGUGUGUUCAUGGAAAUGCAUGUGUUGUUGUGUAAAAGGACAAAAGGAGGUUCACUGUGUGUUAUUUUGUGGUGAGUGCAUGCGUGCGUGUGUGUGUGUGUGUGUGUGUGUGUGUGUGUGUGUGUGUGUGUGUGUGUGUGUGUGUGUGUAAAGGGGGCCUCCCCCCUGGCUGGUGCAGAGAGGGAUUCUGUUUUGCUGAGCGGGUUGCCCGGCAACCAUGACGUCACUGCGGUGCAAAGAGAAACACUAUGACGGAAACAGACGAAUGCAUGAAGGACACUUGACUUACUAUCAGAGAUUGCUAUCUGCUUCUGCUUUAAUACACGGUAUUCCUGCUAUUAGCAGUCUCAACAUUAGGCGCAUCUGCAGAUUUGAUGACACCCAAUACAAGAUCCCUUCAUAAUAUCAAAGCCCACUUUUGACAGGCACCGUCAGAGAGGGGUUGCACAGGAUGUGCCUGACACCACCAUCCGAGCGAGUCCGGGGUCGAAGAUCUUGACAGGAAGUGGAGCAGACCCGAUAGAGGCGGUCGUCUCGCCGCUGUCAUUGUGGAUAUGCCCAUGAGAGGAAGCUCUACAUCUAUUGUGAAAAUGUGAUUACUACACGGAUGGGUUUUUUUCCGCCUUCUUUUUCUCAGAGUGAAACACAUGUCACUCACAGCAAAGAUGUUUCAUCGUGUUUGCUAAAUUAGGACCUUAUGCAAGCGGGUCACGAGCAGGCUCUAUUUAUUCACUUCAAAUAAUGUGUCUUUGUUCACUUUCAAUCCACUUUUUGUGACAUUUUCGUUUGGUAGAAUGCCACGGGAUUUUUAGUCAGUGUGGGCCUUGGCUCAAUAAAAAAUUGGGAAACACUGGUGUGAACCAGCCACAAAAUGACAUUCAA